rnacentral:lncRNA from 12 species
GGCUGUGAAAGCAAACGUGAUUUAUGCAUGUUCACACAAUCUCACCCUAUUCCUGUCUGUUUUAGGGUUUUCCUGUGCUCAAUGGGGAACAAAAGAUCAGAAUUUCCACUGGGAAUGGAAGACAAAAGCUAAUAGUGGUCUAUUUCUGUGUGAGGCACAGGGCUCAGAUUGUACACACGUGGUCUCAUUUAUCCCCCCAACAACUCAGAGGGGUGGCAUCAUCUUCUCCACCGUGCAGAUGAACAACGUGGGACACGGAGUGGGUAAGUCCUCCAUCCGGGUCACGUAAGUGCUAAGACAUUAAACCCAGAUCUCACUCACUGGUUCUCACAAUGGUUCUCCUCUUCCCACUUCCCUGCUGAUUUUUCACCAAGUUAUCUUCCUGAAAGACAGAGUGGUGACCACAAUCUGAUACUUAAAGGUCCCAGUGGCUUCUAUGAGCUUUGGAAGAGAAUCCUAAAGUCAAGGCGGCAUUCAAGGCCUUCAGAGUCAGCUGAUCUCGCUCAGCUCUAGGAGAGAGGGUCUGUGCGGAUCCUGGCCAAGUGACUCACCACUUGAACGAACUAUGGCUGGACAAGUGCUCCAAAAACUGUAUCACCCAGGAAAAUUCAAGGGUGCCAGCUUAGAAAGCCUCUCCCAAUACUGUGACGUACAGCUCACUGGCCCAUGCAGCUUCAACCUGACUAUAUCAGGAGGUUUUCAACUGCAAAUAAGAGGAACCCCAACUCAGAUGGACUGGGUGAUACAUUACACCACACUCCAAGGAGCCGAAUGGCAGAAAGUCUCCAGGUAAAUCAGCACAGUCAAGGCUCCAAGGAGGCAGGUUUCUUCUGUUUUUUGCCUAUCUUCCUCAUCAUAUAUAGAAU